rnacentral:rRNA from 1 species
GUCUGGUGCCAGCAGCCGCGGUAAUUCCAGCUCCAAUAGCGUAUAUAAAGUUGCUGCGGUUAAAAAGCUCGUAGUUGGAUCUCAGUCUCGGUCGGAUGGUCCAUUUCACGAUGGUACUGUCCGAAUCGGACAUUUGGCCGCCUUUCUCAGUAUGCUCUUCACUGAGUGUAUUGGGAGAGUGGCACGUUUACUUUGAAAAAAUUAGAGUGCUCAAAGCAGGCAAUUGCCUGAAUCUUCGUGCAUGGAAUGAUGGAAUAGGGCCUUGGUUCUAUUUUGUUGGUUUCCGGGACUCGAGGUAAUGAUUAAGAGGGACGGACGGGGGCAUUCGUAUUGCGACGUUAGAGGUGAAAUUCUUAGAUCGUCGCAAGACGGACUACUGCGAAAGCAUUUGCCAAGAAUGUUUUCAUUAAUCAAGAACGAAAGUCAGAGGUUCGAAGGCGAUCAGAUACCGCCCUAGUUCUGACCAUAAACGAUGCGAACUGGCGAUCCGUCGGUGUUAGAUCCAAUGACCCGACGGGCAGCUUCCGGGAAACCAAAGUGUUCCUGUUCCGGGGGAAGUAUGGUUGCAAAACUGGAACUUAAAGGAAUUGACGGAAGGGCACCACCAGGAGUGGAGCCUGUGGCUUAAUUUGACUCAACACGGGAAAUCUCACCAGGCCCGGACACUGGCAGGAUUGACAGAUUGAUAGCUCUUUCUUGAUUCAGUGGGUGGUGGUGCAUGGCCGUUCUUAGUUGGUGGAGUGAUUUGUCAGGUUAAUUCCGAUAACGAACGAGACCCCGUCCUACUUACUAGAUUGAGGACGAUUUUCAUCCUUCAAUCUUCUUAGAGGGACAACUGGCAGUAAAAUAGCUACAUGAAAUGGGGCAAUAACAGGUCUGUGAUGCCCUUAGAUGUUCUGGGCUGCACACGCGCUACACUGAAGGGAUCAUCGUGUUUGUCCUAGCCUGAAAAGGCCGGGAAACCCGUUGAAUUCUCUUCGUGCUAGGGAUUGAGGCUUGCAAUUUUUUCUCAUGAACGAGGAAUUCCCAGUAAGUGCGAGUCAUAAGCUCGCACUGAUUACGUCCCUGCCCUUUGUACACACCGCCCGUCGCUACUACCGAUUGGAUGAUUUAGUGAGGCCUUCGGACUGGCCUUCGUAGUGGGGCACUUGUGUCCUGCUGGAAGAUCGGGAAGAUGUUCAAACUGUAUCAUCUAGAGGAA